rnacentral:lncRNA from 1 species
UUUUUUUUUUUUUUUAGAUUUUACUUAUUUGAAAGAAAGAGAGAGAGGGAGAAGGAGCAGAGAGAGGGGCAAAGGGAGAGGGAAAAGUAGACUCCCCAUGGGGCAGGGAGCCUGACAUGGGGCUCGAUCCUGGGACUCCAGGAUCAUGACCUGAACUGAAGGCAAAUGCUUAACUGACUCAGUCACCCAGGUGCCCUGUAUAGAUCACUUUUGAAAAGAUCUAUAUGGAAGAAAAUGUAUAAGAAACUAUUAAUAGUGGUUAACUAAGGACCAGAACUGGGGGGCUGAUAGGGGGAGAGAAGAAACUGUCUUUUGAUUUUAUACCCUUCUGAUGAAUUUAACUUUCUAUUGUAUAAAGGUGUUUUGUGUGUUUUUGCUUACAUAAACAUUUUUUAAAAAGUUAAUACAGGAGGACCAGGGAUUAACCGACAAACCAAUCUGAACAUAAUGUCCCAGAAGGUAACUUUUGAGUGCACAAGAUAUUUGGACCAUGGUGGCCAAGAAGGUUGUGCAAAUAACAAGACAAUACAUUUUAAAAAGUGGAACGUGUUUCAACUGGAGAGACUCAAUAUGUAGAGGGACAACAGUGAGACCAUAUAACUUGAAAUAGAACUCAAAGUCACAACUUGCUGCAACCAGUCCAGGGAGCCAAACUACAACCUCUGUGGCAAUUGUCCCAACUCAGAUCAAUAACUGCCAGCUUCCCUAAUUUUCAUUCCUAAUUUCCAUUUAGGACUAACCAGGGAAAGCCAUAUCUGCUUCCCUCAGUAAUCACAUAUGAUGCUCUGGCUCUAGCUAGCCUGACUCCAGCUUUCCCCAAGCCAGCCAAGAGCCACCAAUCAGCACUUCCGAAGCCUUUCAUUUUCCCCACCAUCAAGCUUUUCCACUCCCCUGUCUGUGAGUCUCCUCUGCCAAAUGCAAGGGAUGGUGGCUGGCUCCCUUACUAUAGAAAGCUUGGAGAACAUGGCCUUUGCUUGUUCUCAUUUGGAUUUCCAUUUACUUCCGCAAAGACUACAGUUUGACUGUAUGAUAUUCUCAAUGGAAUAUUCCUAAAAUUAGCUUUAUAACCUAUUAUAGAAAUGAUAUAAGGAUUUCUUUAUCUGCCAGGUUUUCCAAAGACUAAGUAUGGGUUGUAUAAGACAUCCAUGAGUAUAAUUCCAGGCCAAAAAAAUUAGAGGCCAUUGGGAUCUGAAUAAUUUAGGUGAAUGAACUGUAUAGACACUUUUCUCUACUGCUGCUCUUUGAAAUCAUGCUCAUGGAGACAACAUCUUAAUUCGCCUGUUUAGCAUGGAGUUCUUCAUGAACUUUUGUUCUACCUUUGCAUUCACAACCACCUCUUGCCACAAAAAGUCCACCCAGGCUUCAAACUGGGCAUGCCUAAAAGUAAAAUCAUUUUCACCCUUCAUCCCCACCCAACUACCUUCCUCCUCUCCUAUAAACCACCUGUUCCCUCCUGAUUUGUUGAGAAUAGUUUCCAUUUCCAUCUUCCUUCCCCCGCUCUCGUGUUUUGGGUCCCCACUGCCUCUUUCCUGUUCAAACUUCCAGCCUCUUGCUCCAAAAGGAAGCAAAAGCAUCCUUUCUGGACUGCCCAUGUGUGGCUUCUAUCCUCCUUUCAAAGCCAGGUUAAAGUAACCAUCAGACCAUGGAUUUCCACUGCUUGAAAAGCUCUAAUGACCCCCUGUUGUUUAUAACAAUCCCCUUUCCCAAUCCUUUGUCCCACUGCACUUCCUCACACAGGCACAGAAACCUGAGCUCAAUAAACAGGGAUCAGUAAUUGCAAAGUUGAUGAUGAACAGCACUUUGUUCAACAAAUAUGAGAUUUAUCAGAAGGGGUCCCAGCUAAAGACCUCUAUAGCUUGGAAUCGCUUUCCUGCCAAUGAAGAUCUGGCCCAGGAGUCAUUUAGGUGCUAUCAUCCUUUAGUUAAGGAUAUGAACUGAUAAGGCUGAUGGAUAUAGGAGGAACUGAGGAUCCUUAUAUUUAGAAGGAGUUUAAUCUGCUUGCAGACCCAUAAUUUUUAAAGUCAGGAGCUCCUGAAAUCCUGAAACUAUUGCUUUUGUAAUUAAAGAGAUCUGUUUAUCUUUGCUACCAGCCCAGGAGUUUUCAGAGGGUAGGAUCAAUGUCUCACCCAUUUUUAUAUUCUCUUAUUGCCCAUGGGUAGAAUUUAAUAAAUAUUUAUUGAAAUAAUUAGGAUCCAUUCUCAUUACAUCAUACAAUAGCUAUUGUUUACUCAGCAUUUAUUACAUGCCAGGUAUUUAUUAAAAGAUGAACUCAUCUAGCAUGAAUAAUAGAUGAUAAAAUUGAAGUUCUGACCAGAUCCCUGAUUAAAUGGACAUAGAAUUCCAAAGUGAGGGGUCAAGUUGCCAUGUGGAGAUUAGCUGACAAUGUUCUGUGAGUCUAACAUGUAUGUCUUUGCCCACUUUGAGGGUAAAAGGCAUCAGAAGGCACCUAUCAUCAGGAGGCACCUAUCCUAUCACUGCCCCAAAGAGAGGAGAGAGUUAUUACAGGAUUCCUGGAACUGGGGUAUAGUGCAGAAUGUACUAGAAUAAGAACAAGGUUGACCCAUUAUUUGGUGGCAAAGUGAUAUUUUGAUGUGAGGGUGAACCUGCACUCCCAGAGUUUGCCAGAAAAGGGAUAGAAAACUAUUUCCUAUGAGUCAGAUAUGGCCACCU